GACGAACGCUGGCGGCGUGCUUAACACAUGCAAGUCGAACGGAAAGGCCCUGCCUUUGUGGGGUGCUCGAGUGGCGAACGGGUGAGUAACACGUGAGUAACCUGCCCUUGACUUUGGGAUAACUUCAGGUAACUGGGGCUAAUACCGGAUAGGAGCUCCUGCUGCACGGUGGGGGUUGGAAAGUUUCGGCGGUUGGGGAUGGACUCGCGGCUUAUCAGCUUGUUGGUGGGGUAGUGGCUUACCAAGGCUUUGACGGGUAGCCGGCCUGUGAGGGUGACCGGCCACAUUGGGACUGCGAUACGGCCCCGACUCCUACGGGAGGCAGCAGUGGGGAAUAUUGCACAAUGGGCGGAGGCCUGAUGCAGCAACGCCGCGUGCGGGAUGACGGCCUUCGGGUUGUAGGCCGCUUUCGCCUGUGACGAAGCGUGAGUGGCGGUAAUGGGUAAGGAAGCACCGGCUAACUACGUG
rnacentral:rRNA from 1 species